rnacentral:tRNA from 1 species
UCGGCCGUGGUGUAAUUGGCAACACUCUAGGUUUUGGUCCUAGCUUUCCGGGUUCGAGUCCUGGCGGCCGAGCAA